rnacentral:RNase_P_RNA from 16 species
GAAGUUGGCUGGGCAGUCGCUGUGUCGUUAACGGUGCAGAGGAAAGUCCGGGCUCCGUAGGGCGAGGUGCCAGGUAACGCCUGGGCGGCGUGAGCCGACGGAAAGUGCCGCAGAAAACAGACCGCCGAUGGCCCGACCAACGGGCUCAGGCAAGGGUGAAAAGGUGCGGUAAGAGCGCACCGCGCGGGUGGCAACACUCCGUGGCACGGUAAACCCCACCUGGAGCAAGACCAAAUAGGGAAGCGAGCGUGUGGCCCGCACGGCUUUCGGGUAGGUCGCUUGAGGUGCGCGGUGACGCGUACUCCAGAGGAAUGGCUGCCUUCGACAGAACCCGGCUUAUAGGCCGGCUUCCCGU